GUGAACGCUGGCGGUAGGCCUAACACAUGCAAGUCGAACGGCAGCACAGUAAGAGCUUGCUCUUACGGGUGGCGAGUGGCGGACGGGUGAGGAAUACAUCGGAAUCUACUUUUUCGUGGGGGAUAACGUAGGGAAACUUACGCUAAUACCGCAUACGACCUACGGGUGAAAGCAGGGGAUCUUCGGACCUUGCGCGAUUGAAUGAGCCGAUGUCGGAUUAGCUAGUUGGCGGGGUAAAGGCCCACCAAGGCGACGAUCCGUAGCUGGUCUGAGAGGAUGAUCAGCCACACUGGAACUGAGACACGGUCCAGACUCCUACGGGAGGCAGCAGUGGGGAAUAUUGGACAAUGGGCGCAAGCCUGAUCCAGCCAUACCGCGUGGGUGAAGAAGGCCUUCGGGUUGUAAAGCCCUUUCGUUGGGAAAGAAAAGCAGCAGGUUAAUACCCCGCUGUUCUGACGGUACCCAAAGAAUAAGCACCGGCUAACUUCGUG
rnacentral:rRNA from 1 species